rnacentral:rRNA from 1 species
UACAGAGGUGGCAAGCGUUAUUCGGAAUCACUGGGCUUAAAGGGUGCGUAGGCGGCGCGGUAAGUCGGGUGUGAAAUCUCGGGGCUUAACUCCGAAACUGCAUUCGAUACUGCCGUGCUUGAGGACUGGAGAGGAGACUGGAAUUUACGGUGUAGCGGUGAAAUGCGUAGAUAUCGUAAGGAAGACCAGUGGCGAAGGCGGGUCUCUGGACAGUUCCUGACGCUGAGGCACGAAGGCCAGGGGAGCAAACGGG